rnacentral:lncRNA from 1 species
GGGUGGAUUCGAUACUAGUAUCGGAUCGGUAGCGUAACUUAAAGAGAAAGCCUUUUAUCUAUCCUGCCCUAUCCUGUUUAAGGCCCCCCCUUAUUUUUCUCAUUCAGGCUAAAGCGGAAUUAGUUUCAGCUGACGAAUCUGUUGAUGUUGAAGAAAAAGCAGAAUCGGCAAAAUCUACAUUAGCUGCUGAAGCCGAAUCGGACUCAGAAGUAGGAGACGGGCUCGAAGGUCUGCUGAGCUGAGGUCUCGAAGAUGCGGGAAAGGCGGGCGCCCUCUAAGUUGACCACUCGGGAGUCGGGAAUUCAUUCACCGAUAAUAUGGUAGUGUAGUCCGGAACUUCACUGUGAGAUACGAUACGGAAUUAGAAUUAUGUUCCAGUUCGACUAAAAAUACGCUAUCUUGUCCUCUCCUCCUCGUUAGGG